rnacentral:rRNA from 1 species
UACGUAGGGUGCGAGCAUUAAUCGGAAUUACUGGGCGUAAAGCGUGCGCAGGCGGUGAUGUAAGACAGAUGUGAAAUCCCCGGGCUCAACCUGGGAACUGCAUUUGUGACUGCAUCGCUGGAGUGCGGCAGAGGGGGAUGGAAUUCCGCGUGUAGCAGUGAAAUGCGUAGAUAUGCGGAGGAACACCGAUGGCGAAGGCAAUCCCCUGGGCCUGCACUGACGCUCAUGCACGAAAGCGUGGGGGCAAACAGG